UGGCGCUCUCGGGAUAGGCCUGGGAGCACGCCUCUUUGAGUGUCGAUUCAAUCAAACUCAGCGACCUGCUCUUUAACUGGUGUGGGCGCAGCUGAAUAUUGAGUGUCUCCCCGUAACUGGCGGAGUCACUUUAAGCGGAGCGAGUCUCCCUUUUCCCUAGCAAUUUGCUUUUUGUGAGCGGAAGCUUUCGGGUUUCUGUUUACUUUUAGCAAUAGCCUUGGUGAGAGUUUUGCCUUAUGCAAACUCGUGCCUGCUAGUGAUGCGGAUAAUCACAUUUACUGUGUUUCCAUCAUGACUGGUAGGAGCGGGAUUCGUUAGGCAAACGGCUUUAGUGUCCAGCUCUUCCUUGUGCGACAAAGGCCUGGGAAUCGGUGCUUAGACAGACCGGACUGAUUGCGGGCAACUGCGACUUCAGUUCAAAUCAACCUUUUUGACUUAGACCUCAAAUGAAGCGAGACAACCCGCUGAACUUAAGCAUAUCAUUAAGCGGAGGAAAAGAAACUAACAAGGAUGCCCUCAGUAACGGCGAGUGAAGCGGGCAAAGCUCAAACUGAAAAUCGGGUCUCCACGCGGGGCUUCGAAUUGUAGUCUAUAGACGUAGCGUCAGUAGUGACCCAGGUAUAAAUCUUUUGAAACAAGGUAUCAUAGAGGGUGAGAAUCCC
rnacentral:rRNA from 1 species